GAUGAACGCUGGCGGCGCAUUUAAGACAUGCAAGUCGAACGAAAAUUUACGCUUAAAGAGUUGAUUAGUUUACUAAAAGACAAUUUAUUGUAAAUUUUAGCGGCGGACUGGUGAGUAAUACAUAGGUAAUCUGCCUUUUAGAGGGGAAUAACUAGGAGAAAUCCUAGCUAAUACCGCGUAAGACCACACUUAGGCAUCUAAGAGAGGUCAAAGGAGUAAUCCGCUAAAAGAUGAGCCUGUGGCUGAUUAGUUAGUUGGUGGGGUAAGAGCCUACCAAGACGAUGAUCAGUAGCCGAGCUGAGAGGCUGGCCGGCCACAUUGGGACUGAGAUACGGCCCAGACUCCUACGGGAGGCAGCAGUUGGGAAUAUUGGACAAUGGAGGAAACUCUGAUCCAGUGACGCCGCGUGAAGGAAGAAGGUCUUCGGAUUGUAAACUUAUUUUAUCAGGGAAGAAGAAAGUGACAGUACCUGAAGAAAAAGGACCGGCAAACUACGUGCCAGCAGCCGCGGUAAUACGUAGGGUCCAAGCGUUAUCCGGAUUUACUGGGUGUAAAGGGCGAGUAGACGGCACUGUAAGUCAGCUGUGAAAACUUAGGGCUCAACCUUAAGCCUGCAGCUGAAACUGUAGUGCUAGAGUGCAGGAGAGGUAAGCGGAAUUCCUAGUGUAGCGGUGAAAUGCGUAGAUAUUAGGAGGAACACCAGUGGCGAAGGCGGCUUACUGGACUGUAACUGACGUUGAGGCGCGAAAGUGUGGGGAGCAAACAGGAUUAGAUACCCUGGUAGUCCACACCGUAAACGAUGGAUACUAGGUGUAGGCGAGAUAUCGUCUGUGCCGGCGCAAACGCAAUAAGUAUCCCACCUGGGGAGUACGGCCGCAAGGUUGAAACUCAAAGGAAUUGACGGAAGGGCGAAUUCU
rnacentral:rRNA from 1 species